GAUGCUGGCGGGGUCGAAGGUUCUCCGGCCGGUCCGUCCGCGCCGGAGCUAAGACGGGAAACCGGUGCGAGCCCGGUGCUGCCCCCGCAACUGUAAGCGGCGAGCGGCGGCCUUCCAUGUGUCACUGGAGCGUGCUCCGGGAAGGCCGGGCCGUCCGCAUUGACCCGCAAGCCAGGAGACCUGCCCGCGACGCCAUAACGUC
rfam:Sphingomonas koreensis strain ABOJV, complete genome.